CCUACGGGUGGCAGCAGUGAGGAAUAUUGGUCAAUGGACGAGAGUCUGAACCAGCCAAGUAGCGUGAAGGAUGACUGCCCUAUGGGUUGUAAACUUCUUUUAUAUGGGAAUAAAACAGGGUAUGCAUACCCUCUUGUAUGUACCAUAUGAAUAAGGAUCGGCUAACUCCGUGCCAGCAGCCGCGGUAAUACGGAGGAUCCGAGCGUUAUCCGGAUUUAUUGGGUUUAAAGGGAGCGUAGGUGGAUUGUUAAGUCAGUUGUGAAAGUUUGCGGCUCAACCGUAAAAUUGCAGUUGAAACUGGCAGUAUUGAGUACGGUAGAGGUAGGCGGAAUUCGUGGUGUAGCGGUGAAAUGCUUAGAUAGCACGAAGAACUCCGAUUGCGAAGGCAGCUCACUGGACUACAACUGACACUGAUGCUCGAAAGUGUGGGUAGCAAACAGGAUGAGAUACCCGAGUAGUC
rnacentral:rRNA from 1 species